GAAGGGAUGGCAGAGUCCGGUUGAAUGCACUUGCUCGCAGAGUGAGAGGGGGGGCUGUCCAUCGCCAUCGGCGUGGACAGCCCCCCCUCGUAGGUUCGAAUCCCACUCCCUUCGCCA
rnacentral:tRNA from 1 species